AUUGAACGCUGGCGGCAGGCCUAACACAUGCAAGUCGAGCGAGAGGCGGACGGGUGAGUAAUGUAUGGGGACUGCCCGAUAGAGGGGGAUAACUACUGGAAACGGUGGCUAAUACAGCAUACUGUCGGGUAACCCAUAUGGGAUUAGCUAGUAGGUAAGGUAAUGGCGUACCUAGGCGACGAUCCCUAGCUGGUCUGAGAGGAGGAUCAGCCACACUGGGACUGAGAAACGGCCCAGACUACUACGGAGGCAGCAGUGGGGAAUAUUGCACAAUGGGCGCAAGCCUGAUGCAGCCAUGCCGCGUGUAUGAAGAAGGCCCUAGGGUUGUAAAGUACUGUCAGUCGGGAGGCGUUACCGACAGAAGAAGCACCGGCUAACUCCGUGCCAGCAGCCGCGGUAAUUC
rnacentral:rRNA from 1 species